ensembl:ncRNA lncRNA:CR45383 long non-coding RNA:CR45383
AGGUCAAAGGUGGCUAGAGGUCAAGGCCGGGUCUACACAGGCGAAUUUGAGGCAAUCUUCGGCUAGACGAUAGGACAACAAAAACAUCUGGCCAUGUAAUUGGCGUGGGCUUGACUGCAGGGCAAUCAACCAGGCGAAUAUCCCUGGCCAAUAUCAUUACUAAUACCAAAAUAAGCGAUAUAUCAUCAUAAGCGAUAUAUCAUCUUAUUUCAGCUGUCUGCUGCCUUUUAUGGCCCCGAGAAAAACCCAUCAAAAGCAAUAGAAACUUUACAACUUGCAGACAUCUUUUGGGUCAGAGACAAGAAUUUUGAACUCGACUUGACUUCAUUGAUGGUCAAGCCAGUGCAGUAUGUUCGUGUAUGUAAGUGGGUGUUUGCAUACGAUGUGGAACAUUGGCCCUAACCCCUCUUUUGGACAUUGGCCAUCCGAUUAAGUUUGCACACCAGCAACAACAGAAGUGCAUUGAAAUCGAGCAAACUCUCGGCUUGAAGUUUCCGAAAAGCAUUUCCUUGUCACCAACGAACUUUUCGACGCAUUGUGCGCAUUCUGGCCGCAUUCGGCCAAACAAGGACCCCGCAGGACCAGCCUUAGCCUUGGCCCCCCGAACAAGCCAUGGCUAACAGAAUGCUGUUAUUAACCACGUGCUUUCCUGCAAGUUGGCGAUUCUGCGC